rnacentral:rRNA from 1 species
AUACGGAGGGUGCAAGCGUUACUCGGAAUCACUGGGCGUAAAGCGCGCGCAGGCGGGCUGAUAAGUUGGAUGUGAAAGCCUACGGCUCAACCGUAGAACUGCAUCCAAAACUGUCAGUCUAGAGUCUGGGAGGGGAAGAUGGAAUUAGUUGUGUAGGGGUAAAAUCCGUAGAGAUAACUAGGAAUACCAAAAGCGAAGGCGAUCCUCUGGAACAGUACUGACGCUGAGGCGCGAAAGCGUGGGGAGCAAACAGGAUUAGAAACCCUAGUAGUCC